rnacentral:rRNA from 1 species
CCUACGGGUGGCAGCAGUGGGGAAUAUUGGACAAUGGGCGAAAGCCUGAUCCAGCCAUGCCGCGUGUGUGAAGAAGGCCUUCGGGUUGUAAAGCACUUUCAGUGGGGAAGAAAGCCUUGGGGCUAAUACCCUCGAGGAAGGACAUCACCCACAGAAGAAGCACCGGCUAACUCCGUGCCAGCAGCCGCGGUAAUACGGAGGGUGCGAGCGUUAAUCGGAAUUACUGGGCGUAAAGCGCGCGUAGGCGGUCUGAUAAGCCGGUUGUGAAAGCCCCGGGCUCAACCUGGGAACGGCAUCCGGAACUGUCAGGCUAGAGUGCAGGAGAGGAAGGUAGAAUUCCCGGUGUAGCGGUGAAAUGCGUAGAGAUCGGGAGGAAUUCCAGUGGCGAAGGCGGCCUUCUGGACUGACACUGACGCUGAGGUGCGAAAGCGUGGGUAGCAAACAGGAUUAGAUACCCCGGUAGUC